AGCAGCCAGAUCCAAAGCCGGAUCAGAUCCCUGCCGAGUCACACAGCCCUAGUUACCACCUCUCAUUAACAUAUGCAAUUGUUCCAUCCCUCUGAUUCAGUCAGUUCAGUUCAUUUGAACCUCUAACCAUUACUAUGUUGUGUUAGAAAAACUUGCGGUGAUAGAAAAGGAAAGAAACAUCCUGCGAACCAACACAAGGCCAUAAGCUGCUUGCCAGAGGCAAGGCCAGCUGAUAUUGCAUACGCCAGCAAAAUGAAAAGUUCUGAUAAUAAUGAGGCUAUACAGAACUUAAGCAAUGAUUUAAUAAGGCUGAAUAUAAAAGAAAAUUUUAAACAAUACUGUAAUGCACCACUCUAUAAAGAGGGGAGGGCUUUAAAGCAUAAACUAUGACAAGCUACCUUAACAGCAUUGCUUUUCACUCUUCAGCCAGUGGAAAUAGCCGUGAAGAAAAACACAGAUGUGUUCACUGAUCACAGAUGCUUUUCUGCAUUUGUUUGAAAAUAAACAUUAAGGAGGUUUAGAAACAAGAACUGGGAUUGUCAUACAUGUUUUCAGGUUAAAGCCAUAUAUUAUCAGGGCGAGCCCCUGCACCACUAUAAAUCAGUGUAACUUUGUUGACCUCAAGGGACUUCCAAUGAUUUCUACCAGCUGAGGAACUGGGGCUGAGCCUCCAAUGAGAGAUAAUUCACCAUUUCAUAGUACAAAAAUAAGAAAGAACCUAGGACACCAAGCAGCCAUGAAACCUAAAUCACCAGCAACUCCUUACAACCAUGUCAGGCUGCAGUAUAUCAAUGCAACAAUUUACACAGAACAGCUAGGCUGGAAAUAACGUCUACCUAUUUCUGCAUAUUAACCAUGGAAAGAUUGCUGUGUUUUCAAUUUUCUGCCCAUCUCCAAUUAAAUUAUGUGGAAAGCUUUCCUUCAGGCACAAACCUUGUAGACAGGAUAAACAAAACACAGAGAAAAACCCAACAGCAGAGUAACAUCCCAUAAAGCUUGAUGCAUUUUCGUUUGCAAAACUCUGUUGACUUCAGCGUGGUUUAAAAAAUGCCCCCUGUAGUGAUGACUGGGUUCAAUAAAAAGUCAUAUGUGAAUAAGAAGAACUAACAACAAUGAACUUUACGCUGGAGCAAGUUUCUACAGCCCUUUAUUCUCUCCAACUGACUGACUUAGUGGACCAUUGCCUAACUCCUAACCUCUGCAGUCUUCCAAGUAGUGGAGCGUUUCUUACAACUUUUAUCACCGCAACUUCUCUCUUAACAGGACAUGGUUGCUUGUGUUCUGGAGCAAUUGAUUUCUUCUGAAGAGGAAUGUUCAGAUUUGGGCUGUGACAGCUAAAAGGAUCAUCAGGAGGCAUGACUGUUGUAUCUCCUUGUACUGCAAGAAGUAAACCCUUAACUAGAUUCAGUUUCUCAUAAGAUGCCAGAUCUAAAAUUGAUGUCACUUCCCUAGGUACCACAAUUAAUAGGAGUUUGUAUACUCUAUCUUUAUUUUGGAUGCACCUCCCUUUCAAUGUCAGGCAUGUUCCUGGCUACUGCCAGUUCUUUUGAUGUUUGCUGCCAAAAUCACAAGCCUUGCAUGGCCAGAUCAGGUACACACCAUACCCCAUUCCUGUAUGGGGCCAGGCCAGGGCCAGGCCAGCCCUCCUUUUCAUCUACAGUCACAUUGGGCCUGGGCCAUGCCUCAAGGCCAACUUGAAAAAAUGCAACAUAGACAUCAACUCAUGGGAGACUAUCACCCAGGACCACCCCAAAUGGAGGAAGAGUCUGCUGCUAGGAUCUCAGUACUUUGAAAACUUACAUUGACAGCAGGAGAUGGAAAAGCAGGAGAGACAGAAACAGUGUAUUGAAGUCUGAAUCAAGAAUUCAGAGCCACCCACCCAACACAGAAGCAUGUUCCUGAAUUGCAUUAGUCUGUUGAGCCCGGAUCAUCCUCAUCAUCCAUCUUUGGUCCUGAAGUUGAGACAUUCGUUGAAGACAAUAAUCCUUGACUCCCAGGGAUUGCUGAAGAAGAGAAGCAGGAGAAAAGAUAUGUAAGUUUAACAGCUUCAGAAGAACAUUUUGGAGGGGGUUAUAUUACCUUUAUCUGCCUCUGUGGAAACAAAAACAAAAUCAUCUCCCUACAUGCAUCAAAUUGAAAACACCCUCUCAGAGUCUGGUUUAAAAUAUAUUGUCACAAAAUCUCUUUGGAUUUUCAAUAGCAUAAUACCAUGAAGAUCAACUCUAAAACCUCAUUUGCCAUUGACUCCUAUCCUCAAAUUUAGCUACAUUGAAUCCACUUGGAAGGUAAUAAGAACGUCAUUCUGAAAUGGAUGCCCCAUUGCUUCAAACCUCACAUCCUUAUGAUAGCUUUUGCCACACAGGACAAGUUUUCUGUUCUUCCACAAACCCACACAACCCUCUGUUUCUAUGCUUCCGCACAAGACAUUUACCACCUAAGCUCAUGAUUUAUCCUCUGUUUCUAAUAUUCACGUUCCCUCUCAUGACGGUUAAAUCUGCUGCACGUCAAAUGCCAAGACAAAGGACUACUUCAUGGUUAUGUUAGAAGCAUGACUCUUCAUUGCAAGCAGUGAACCGGUUAAAUGAACAAUUACCAAAAUAUGGCAGAUGUACAAGUGUAUUUGAGAUGAACAAUUAUCAAGGGCCUUACAAUUAAUUUCUUCAUGUAUACACCUGCAUCUUGUUAGCAUGGCACCUGGUUGCAGCAGAGAUAUCUGGUUGUACGCUAUAGCUCGUGGUGCAGUUUGUAGGCAGAUGCUUCUAUGGAUGGAUGAUUAUUUCAGCACAAAUACCUGCUUCCUCCCUAAUGUAUUAAAUACGAUGCAGAAAUGAGAAGAAAAUGUAGCUAAAUUGAAAGGAGGGUGGGGGGUAGGUAAACCAAGAUGCUGUUAGAGCUAUUCAUCAGAUCCAAGUCCUUGUAAAUAAAGUUAUGGCUAUAAACUGAAGUCAGUGAAAAAGCAGUAACUUUGUGUUGAAGCAUAUAGGUGCCUUAAACCUAUAUGAGAAAAAAAACCUGGAGAUUGUAGACUGGGUCCUAGCAAUGUCAGGGCUGGGUAGGAGUGCAGGAUGGGUGGAGGAGAUCCAGGAGACUUUCAGAGGGGCAGGCAUAACUUGUUACACUUGACUUGUAAAUUAUUUGUGGCAGGGUCUGUCUUUUUGUUCUGUAAUUGUGCAGUACUUACCUAGCCUAAUAGACUUCUGGCCCAUAGUUUAAGCUCCUAUGCACUACCACAGUACAAAAAACCCCCAAAAUUCAAGGGUUUACAGAUGGUUAGGAGAGCUGAGAUGAGAGUGGCAGUUGUGUAAGCAACCAGGUCAGAAGCAGUCCAUCUCAACAGGUAGUGCUGGGUGCCAUUCUCCAAGAGUAACCCCAGGGAAUUAGGAACUGAGCUCAGGGAUCUGGAGCCAGUAAUCAAGAGCCAAAAUUAUAAACAGGUCCACUUUCAAACAAGGAAGGGGGGGGGGGGGAUCAUACAUCAGAUGCUGGACAGAAAAACUAACUAGGAGCAAGAACAGGAAUCAGAGCUGAGGUACAAAACUAGGAUCAGGGUAAUCUAGAAGUUCUUCAAGAAAUGUGUGCAAAUAGCCUAGUACUGUCUGUUCUGGUUUUAAGGCCAUGUAUGGGGCAAGUUUAGCUUCCUACAAGCACAGAAGCCAGAGGCAGGCCACCAGAGAGAUGAUUCAUUCCCGGCUGGAGCGGCACCUCAUCACAAAUCGGAGAAACAAAUAAUAUCAAGGGUCAGACAUGAGAAAAGGGUAGGGCAUGUCAGGGUAAGGGAGGUCAGGCCUCAAGAAUUGGCCAGAGACUGAAAUGAAAUGGAGAGACUGGAGGUGGAGGAGUCAGCUCGCAGUCAAACCUGGGUUAGUUGUGGUCCUGACAAACUCUAAGCAUUCUUCCCCUUGACCACCUCAGUCUUUAAGCUUCUCUUUAAAAAUGGAGAGCCAGUAAGCAUUGCAAUGAUUAACCCAGUAAUAGCAUCAAACCUAUGGCAUUUAUACCAGUAUGUCGGUAAGAAAGCCUAUAAGGACUUAAUCACAAAUCCCUUCUUUAUUGUCUGUUAUUUCCUGAUAAAGAUCAGCCACGUGUGAUCCAUGUUUCAAGGUCAAAAUUGACACCGUAUUUCCAGAAGGUACAGCCAUCGAUCACUGGAAGGAUGUUUUUUGUAAACAAGCCAUAAUAGGCCAUGUCAAUACCCAGUCCGGCCUUCUUGCAUGCCAACGUUGCCUUUGCCAGAAUUGGAGAUAAGUUGAAAAAGGGCCCCCGUUCUGUCUGGUUAUCAGGGCAAGUUUGGGGGUUUUUUUAUGACAUGCUGCAACUCUGUCUGUCUCUCAUAAAUACUCAGAACCUGAGGCAAGUGUAUACCAAAAUUAAAUGAAAGAAUUAGACACAUUUUGGAUUGCACCCUACACUUUGUGUCUGUCAAUAGUGCUUGCUGAGGUGGAAAAACAAAAUUGCUUUGUGAUUAUUUCUGUGAAACCAAGUGCUGAGUUUGUUUCGCUGCAUUUGACAUGGUCAUGUUGGUCACUGGAAUAUUCAGUUAACCAGUAGAUGUAUUUAUAAAACCCCAAUGUUUCACAGA